GCCUCCAUAGCUCAGCUGGCAGAGCGACGCUCUUGUAAAGCGUAGGUCAUCGGUUCGAACCCGAUUGGAGGCU
rnacentral:tRNA from 1 species